rnacentral:pre_miRNA from 1 species
AUAAAAGUCGAAGGAACAGAAAGGGACAAGACGACCGUCUCAAAAGACUCGUCCUGUCCGUUUCUGUUCCUUCGACUUUUAUG